GGAGUUUGGUCCGUGUCUCAGUACCAAUGUGGGGGACCUUCCUCUCAGAACCCCUACUGAUCGAUGGCUUGGUGGGCCGUUACCCCGCCAACAACCUAAUCAGACGCAUCCCCAUCCCUUAGCGAUAAAUCUUUGUUCCAGCUCAGAUGUCUUCAUCGGAAAACAUAGGGUAUUAAUCCGACUUUCGCCGGGCUAUGCCCUACUAAGGGGAAGGUUGGAUACGCGUUACUCACCCGUGCGCCGGUCGCCAUCAGUCUUAGCAAGCUAAGACCAUGCUGCCCCUCGACUUGCAUGUGUUAAGCCUGUAGCUAGCGUUCAUC
rnacentral:rRNA from 1 species